GUGCAGCAGGCGCGAAACCUCCGCAAUGUGAGAAAUCGCGACGGGGGGAUCCCAAGUGCCAUUCUUAACGGGAUGGCUUUUCAUUAGUGUAAAGAGCUUUUGGAAUAAGAGCUGGGCAAGACCGGUGCCAGCCGCCGCGGUAACACCGGCAGCUCUAGUGGUAACAAUUUUUAUUGGGCCUAAAGCGUCCGUAGCCGGUUUAAUAAGUCUCUGGUGAAAUCCUGUAGCUUAACUGUGGGAAUUGCUGGAGACACUAUUAGACUUGAGACCGGGAGAGGUUAGAGGUACUCCCAGGGUAGAGGUGAAAUUCUGUAAUCCUGGGAGGACCGCCUGUUGCGAAGGCGUCUAACUGGAACGGUUCUGACGGUGAAGGACGAAAGUUAGGGGCACGAACCGGAUUAGAUACCCGGGUAGUCC
rnacentral:rRNA from 1 species